GGAAUAUAAGAAACUGUCUCUUAACUUUUAACUAAAACAUUUAAGAACCGGUUCUUAACUUUUUUAGUUAAAAGUUAAGAGGCGAUUUCUUAUAUUCC
rfam:Brassica oleracea var. oleracea cultivar TO1000 chromosome C1, whole genome shotgun sequence